UGAAUAGUAUAUAGAAAGCUGCUAACUUUUUAAUAGCGAAAGCUACUAUGGAU
rnacentral:tRNA from 1 species